GACCAAAGGAAGUUAACAGGAAACAUAGGU
rnacentral:piRNA from 1 species